UACGUAGGUGGCAAGCGUUGUCCGGAAUUACUGGGUGUAAAGGGAGCGUAGGCGGGGAGACAAGUUGGAUGUGAAAUACCCAGGCUCAACCUGGGGGCUGCAUCCAAAACUGUUUCUCUUGAGUGAAGUAGAGGCAGGCGGAAUUCCUAGUGUAGCGGUGAAAUGCGUAGAUAUUAGGAGGAACACCAGUGGCGAAGGCGGCCUGCUGGGCUUUAACUGACGCUGAGGCUCGAAAGCGUGGGGAGCAAACAGG
rnacentral:rRNA from 1 species